GAAUUGCGAUAAGUAAUGUGAAUUGCAGAAUUCAGUGAAUCAUCGAAUCUUUGAACGCACCUUGCACCCUUUGGUAUUCCGAAGGGUAUGCCCGGUUGAGUAUUAUAAUCAACUCAAGCCUCUGAUUUUCUAAUUGCAAAGGCGUGACGACCGACGAAGCCAUUCACAACGGGGUGGUGGUAGUUGGAGUUUUGCUUGGAACUUCAGAGGUAUUGGACUUGAGCGCACGUCGGUUUAAUCUUUAACCGACCCGCUUGAAAUGCAUUAGCUGACGACCGCACGACACGGUUUCACUCGACGCGAUAAGCCUAUUCGUUGAGGACGUGGUUGAGCUUCAAGUCGCUUCUAAUCGUCUUAGGACACCCAUUGAACGUUUAAUCUCAACUCGGGUAGGACUACCCGCUGAACUUAAGCAUAUCAAUAAGCGGAGGAAAAGAAACUAACAAGGAUUCCCUAGUAAC
rnacentral:rRNA from 1 species